CAUGCAGGCGGUUAGACAAGUCAGAUGUGAAAUCCCCGAGCUCAACUUGGGAACUGCGUUUGAAACUGCAAGACUAGAAUAUGUCAGAGGGGGGUAGAAUUCCACGUGUAGCAGUGAAAUGCGUAGAGAUGUGGAGGAAUACCAAUGGCGAAGGCAGCCCCCUGGGAUAAUAUUGACGCUCAUGCACGAAAGCGUGGGGAGCAAACAGGAUUAGAUACCCGCGUA
rnacentral:rRNA from 1 species